CUGUAUCAAAUGUCUUGGCAAAAUCCAAAUAGAUCACAUCCACUGCAAAACCCUGAUCUAUACUUCUGCUUAGGUAAUUGUUUUAGAAGAAUGAUCUUCUAGUGAUCCUAAGAACAAGUCUGCGAAAACUCGUGGUUAGAUACAAUAUUGCCCUUAAAUCCAGACGUGUAUUCAAGCUAGUAAAUAGACCUGUCUUCUGAGGUGUGACUUCAUUAAGCAGGAUUUUAACUGACAGCUCUUCA